GACGAACGCUGGCGGCGUGCUUAACACAUGCAAGUCGAACGGAAAGGCCCUGCUUUUGUGGGGUGCUCGAAUGGCGAACGGGUGAGUAACACGUGAGUAACCUGCCCUUGACUUUGGGAUAACUUCAGGAAACUGGGGCUAAUACCGGAUAGGAGCUCCUGCUGCAUGGUGGGGGUUGGAAAGUUUCGGCGGUUGGGGAUGGACUCGCGGCUUAUCAGCUUGUUGGUGGGGUAGUGGCUUACCAAGGCUUUGACGGGUAGCCGGCCUGCGAGGGUGACCGGCCACAUUGGGACUGAGAUACGGCCCAGACUCCUACGGGAGGCAGCAGUGGGGAAUAUUGCACAAUGGGCGGAAGCCUGAUGCAGCAACGCCGCGUGCGGGAUGACGGCCUUCGGGUUGUAAACCGCUUUCGCCUGUGACGAAGCGUGAGUGACGGUAAUGGGUAAAGAAGCACCGGCUAACUACGUG
rnacentral:rRNA from 1 species